rnacentral:rRNA from 1 species
AUUGAACGCUGGCGGCAUGCCUUACACAUGCAAGUCGAACGGCAGCACGGGGGGCAACCCUGGUGGCGAGUGGCGAACGGGUGAGUAACGCAUCGGAACGUGCCCAGUAGUGGGGGAUAACCAGUCGAAAGACUGGCUAAUACCGCAUACGACCCAAGGGUGAAAGCGGGGGACCGUAAGGCCUCGCGCUAUUGGAGCGGCCGAUGUCUGAUUAGCUAGUUGGCGGGGUAAGAGCCCACCAAGGCGACGAUCAGUAGCUGGUCUGAGAGGACGACCAGCCACACUGGGACUGAGACACGGCCCAGACUCCUACGGGAGGCAGCAGUGGGGAAUUUUGGACAAUGGGCGCAAGCCUGAUCCAGCCAUGCCGCGUGCGGGAAGAAGGCCUUCGGGUUGUAAACCGCUUUUGGCAGGAACGAAACGGUGCAAGCCAAUACCUUGCGCUAAUGACGGUACCUGCAGAAUAAGCACCGGCUAACUACGUGCCAGCCGCCGCGGUAAUAC